GGCUAAAUAACGUGAGGAGACCGAUAGAUUACAAGUAGUGUGAACGAAAGAUGAAAAGAACUCUAAAACAGAGGGUGAAAAGUUCAUGAACUUGCUUAGGGUUAAGGCUAUUUAUAGUACCCGUCUUGAAACACGGAUUAGGGAGUUUAUCUGUAGUGCGAGUCUUUGCACGUUAACUGUAAAGGCGUAGAGAAAGCAACUGGCGUUUGCAUGGCUACUGAGCAUUACUGAUAGGACCCGAAAGGUGGUGAACUUUGCCUGCACAGGUUGAAGUCAGGGGAAACUCUGAUGGAGGACCGUACGGGUUAUUGAUGUGCAAAUCAUUUUUCUGAUGUAGGUAAAGGUGCGAAAGACUCAUCGAACCACCUAAUAGCUGGUUUCCUCCGAAGUUUCCCUCAGGAUAGCUGUAAUGCAUUUAGUUAAGGGGAGUAGAGAUAUGGGUAGAGGUGCAGGGAGCCUUCGGGUUCUCAACUUAUUUCCAAACUUCGAACCUCCUUGUUAGGCAUUUACCUAACUGGAAAUGCUUAAAUGAAUUAGCGUUACAAGUGGGCUCUGACCGGUAAGCGGUCAUGGCGAAAUGGGAUGAACCAUACGUCUGAAUAAGGUGCCGAAAUGUACUAUCACUGAUACCAUAAAGGGAGUCCAUGUAUUUAGACAGCAGGUCGGUGCCCCUAAAAGCAGGUAUCCGCUAAAGAGUGUGUUAAAACUCACCUGCCGAAUACUAGGGCCCCGAAAAU
rnacentral:ncRNA from 1 species